rnacentral:rRNA from 1 species
GUACACUCCUGCGGGAGGCAGCAGUAGGGAAUCUUCGGCAAUGGGGGCAACCCUGACCGAGCAACGCCGCGUGAGUGAAGAAGGUUUUCGGAUCGUAAAGCUCUGUUGUAAGUCAAGAACGAGUGUGAGAGUGGAAAGUUCACACUGUGACGGUAGCUUACCAGAAAGGGACGGCUAACUACGUGCCAGCAGCCGCGGUAAUACGUAGGUCCCGAGCGUUGUCCGGAUUUAUUGGGCGUAAAGCGAGCGCAGGCGGUUUGAUAAGUCUGAAGUUAAAGGCUGUGGCUCAACCAUAGUUCGCUUUGGAAACUGUCAAACUUGAGUGCAGAAGGGGAGAGUGGAAUUCCAUGUGUAGCGGUGAAAUGCGUAGAUAUAUGGAGGAACACCGGUGGCGAAAGCGGCUCUCUGGUCUGUAACUGACGCUGAGGCUCGAAAGCGUGGGGAGCGAACAGGAUUAGAUACCCCGGUAGUCCCAUGAU